rnacentral:rRNA from 1 species
UACGAAGGGGGCGAGCGUUGUUCGGAUUUACUGGGCGUAAAGGGCGCGCAGGCGGCGCGGCCAGUCAGGCGUGAAAGCCCCGGGCUCAACCCGGGAAUGGCGUUUGAGACUGCCGUGCUGGAGUUCGGGAGAGGAGCGUGGAAUUCCCAGUGUAGAGGUGAAAUUCGUAGAUAUUGGGAAGAACACCGGUGGCGAAGGCGGCGCUCUGGACCGAGACUGACGCUGAGGCGCGAAAGCGUGGGGAG